rnacentral:rRNA from 1 species
AUUGAACGCUGGCGGAAUGCUUUACACAUGCAAGUCGAGCGGCAGCGCGGGGCAACCUGGCGGCGAGCGGCGAACGGGUGAGUAAUGCAUCGGAACAUGUCCAUUCGUGGGGGAUAGCCCGGCGAAAGCCGGAUUAAUACCGCAUACGCCCUGAGGGGGAAAGUGGGGGACCGCAAGGCCUCACGCGAUUGGGUUGGCCGAUGUCCGAUUAGCUAGUUGGCGGGGUAAAGGCCCACCAAGGCGAUGAUCGGUAGCUGGUCUGAGAGGAUGAUCAGCCACACUGGGACUGAGACACGGCCCAGACUCCUACGGGAGGCAGCAGUGGGGAAUUUUGGACAAUGGGGAAACCCUGAUCCAGCCAUUCCGCGUGAGUGAAGAAGGCC